GACAGAGGGUGCGAACGUUGUUCGGAAUUACUGGGCGUAAAGCGCAUGUAGGCGGCAGCGCAAGUCGGGCGUGAAAUCCCACGGCUCAACCGUGGAAGUGCACUCGAAACUGCGCAGCUAGAGUCCUGGAGAGGAAGGUGGAAUGCUUGGUGUAGAGGCGAAAUUCGUAGAUAUCAAGCGGAACACCGGUGGCGAAGGCGGCCUUCUGGACAGUGACUGACGCUGAGAUGCGAAAGCGUGGGGAGCAAACAGG
rnacentral:rRNA from 1 species